UUAAGCGGUGUUUGUCCAUGCAGCCCUCGGACAGGCCAUCAUUAGAAGAGCUUUUCUGCCAUCCUUGGGUGCAGGGUGCUCCUCGGCCCUAGAAGAUGGGAGAGAUCCAUGUGCACAGUUGGAUCCAGGGGCCUGGCAGGGAAGGAGAAGGAGCUCCUGGAGAAGCUGUACGAGGUGGGGCUGCUGCUGGAGACAGCAAGGACAGCCUCAAGGAUGACAGUCUCUUCCUUGGCCUGGCCAGCUGAAGAAGAUGGACUUGGAUUCUGGCACCUUCUCUAAAGACACACUCCACACCCAAUUUGCAGCCGGGCUCUGCGGGUGCUGAGGCUGCUCUGGGCUCUGCCAGGGCUCUGCUGGGCUCAGCCCUGGGCACAGCUGGGCUGGCUCUGCCCUCACAUUGCUCUGACAGCUUUGCAUCAGACAAGCCCGUUCUGAGCACAGCGCCUGAGCUUUCUGCUUUGGCAGAGGUGCCACAAGUGGGCCAAAGCUGGCGAGUGGGCCAUGUCCCUGAGGCAGUGCAGUCUGGAGCUGAUGGAUGGAGAAUUGCCUUUCUGCACUCCCAAACCAGAGGAAAAAUCUAAAACAUGCUGUAAAAAAAGAGUGUCCUUUGCUCCUGGUUCCCAUGCGGAGCAGCUCCCUUCCUGCUGGCUGAGCUGCUCAGGCAGAGCCCGGCAGCUCCUGGCCAUGCAGGGCUGAGGCUUUUCCCCACUGCUGGGCACAGACUGAUGGAGCAGCACUGCUGAACACGGGCACACCCAG